UAUACCUACCUCUGUUGCUUUGGCGGGCCGCGGUCUUCCGCGGCCGCCCCCCGAUUUUGGGGGGUGGCUAGUGCCCGCCAGAGGACUAUCAAACUCCAGUCAGUAAACGUUGCAGUCUGAAAAAAAUAUUAAAUAAACUAAAACUUUCAACAACGGAUCUCUUGGUUCUGGCAUCGAUGAAGAACGCAGCGAAAUGCGAUAAGUAAUGUGAAUUGCAGAAUUCAGUGAAUCAUCGAAUCUUUGAACGCACAUUGCGCCCCUUGGUAUUCCGGGGGGCAUGCCUGUUCGAGCGUCAUUUCAACCCUCAAGCUCUGCUUGGUAUUGGGCACCGUCCUUUGCGGGCGCGCCUCAAAGACCUCGGCGGUGGCGUCUUGCCUCAAGCGUAGUAGAAUACACCUCGCUUCGGAGCGUAAGGCGUCGCCCGCCGGACGAACCUUCUGAACUUUUCUCAAGGUUGACCUCGGAUCAGGUAGGGAUACCCGCUGAACUUAAGCAUAUCAAAGUCCGGAGGGAAGAUC
rnacentral:rRNA from 1 species